AAGUCCCGCAACGAGCGCAACCCUUGUCCUAGUUGCCAGCACUUCGGGUGGGAACUCUAGGGAGACUGCCGGUGACAAACCGGAGGAAGGUGGGGACGACGUCAAGUCAUCAUGCCCCUUAUGUCCAGGGCUGCACGCAUGCUACAAUGGCAAGUACAACGAGUCGCAAUACCGCGAGGUGGAGCAAAUCUCUUAAAGCUUGUCUCAGUUCGGAUAGGAGUCUGCAACUCGACUCCUUGAAGUUGGAGUCGCUAGUAAUCGCAAAUCAGCAAAGUUGCGGUGAAUACGUUCUCGGGGUUU
rnacentral:rRNA from 1 species